rnacentral:rRNA from 1 species
AGGGGGAAAGACUAACAGGAUUCCCCUAGUAACUGCGAGUGAAGCGGGAAAAGCUCAAAUUUAAAAUCUGGCAGUCUAUGGCUGUCCGAGUUGUAAUCUAGAGAAGUGUUAUCCGCGCUGGACCGUGUACAAGUCUCCUGGAAUGGAGCAUCAUAGAGGGUGAGAAUCCCGUCUUUGACACGGACUGCCAGGGCUUUGUGAUGCGCUCUCAAAGAGUCGAGUUGUUUGGGAAUGCAGCUCAAAAUGGGUGGUAAAUUCCAUCUAAAGCUAAAUAUUGGCGAGAGACCGAUAGCGAACAAGUACCGUGAGGGAAAGAUGAAAAGAACUUUGGAAAGAGAGUUAAACAGUACGUGAAAUUGCUGAAAGGGAAACGCUUGAAGUCAGUCGCAUUGUGUGGGAAUCAACCUUGCUUUUGCUGGGCGUAUUUUCCAUAUGAUGGGUCAGCAUCAAUUUCGACUGUUGGAUAAAGUUCAAGGGAAUGUGGCAUCUUCGGAUGUGUUAUAGCCCUUGGUCGUAUACAACGAUUGGGAUUGAGGAACUCAGCACGCCGAAAGGCCGGGUCUCGUACCACGUUCGUGCUUAGGAUGCUGGCAUAAUGGCUUUAAUCGACCCGUCUUGAAACACGGACCAAGGAGUCUAACAUGCCUGCGAGUAUUUGGGUGAAAAACCCGAGUGCGUAAUGAAAGUGAAAGUUGAGAUCCCUGUCAUGGGGGAGCAUCGACGCCCGGACCAGACCUUUUGUGACGGAUCUGCGGUAGAGCAUGUAUGUUGGGACCCGAAAGAUGGUGAACUAUGCCUGAAUAGGGUGAAGCCAGAGGAAACUCUGGUGGAGGCUCGUAGCGAUUCUGACGUGCAAAUCGAUCGUCAAAUUUGGGUAUAGGGGCGAAAGACUAAUCGAACCAUCUAGUAGCUGGUUCCUGCCGAUCUCUUCCUUCCCGGGGG